rnacentral:lncRNA from 1 species
AUUAAAGAACCUUAGUGAGCACGCUCACAUACCCCACGUCCCCACAUUGUCAUUGGAGAAAUUAAAUAAGUAUAAGAAAAAAAAAAUUGAAAAAAUAUUGAAUAAUAAUUUCCUGUCAAUAUACAUAGUAUGUCCUUAUUAUCUACAAAAUUUCAUGAAAUUAUGUUGUGUGUUUUCAGAGGAGUUGAGAUGACAAACUGUUGCAGAAGUACAUUGAAGCAAAUAAGUUCAAAGGGGCUUAACUCCUAGAAAAAAAAUUGAACCGUAAUUUCCUGUUGAUAUGCACAUCUACAUAGUAUGUCCUUAUUAUCUACAAAGUUUCAUGAAAUUCUGUUGUGUGGUUUGAGAGGAGUUGCAAUGACAAACUGUUGCAG